AGUGAACGCUGGCGGUAGGCCUAACACAUGCAAGUCGAACGGCAGCACAGUAAGAGCUUGCUCUUACGGGUGGCGAGUGGCGGACGGGUGAGGAAUACAUCGGAAUCUACUUUUUCGUGGGGGAUAACGUAGGGAAACUUACGCUAAUACCGCAUACGACCUACGGGUGAAAGCAGGGGAUCUUCGGACCUUGCGCGAUUGAAUGAGCCGAUGUCGGAUUAGCUAGUUGGCGGGGUAAAGGCCCACCAAGGCGACGAUCCGUAGCUGGUCUGAGAGGAUGGUCAGCCACACUGGAACUGAGACACGGUCCAGACUCCUACGGGAGGCAGCAGUCGGGAAUAUUGGACAAUGGGCGCAAGCCUGAUCCAGCCAUACCGCGUGGGUGAAGAAGGCCUUCGGGUUGUAAAGCCCUUUUGUUGGGAAAGAAAAGCAGCAGGUUAAUACCCCGCUGUUCUGACGGUACCCAAAGAAUAAGCACCGGCUAACUUCGUG
rnacentral:rRNA from 1 species